rnacentral:rRNA from 1 species
UUCCGGUUGAUCCCGCCGGACCCCACUGCUAUCGGGGUGGGACUAAGACAUGCAAGUCGUACGCUUCCCAGCUGCCGGGGGAGGCGUGGCGCACGGCUCCGUAACACGUGGCUAACCUGCCCUUGGGACGGGGACACCCCCGGGAAACUGGGGCUAAUCCCCGAUAGGUGAGAUGNCCUGGAAUGGUUCCUCACUGAAAGGGCGUCGGCACCGUGCUGUCGGCGUCGCCCAAGGAUGGGGCCGCGGCCGAUCAGGUUGUUGGUGGGGUAACGGCCCACCAAGCCGAUAACCGGUACGGGCCGUGAGAGCGGGAGCCCGGAGAUGGGCACUGAGAUAAGGGCCCAGGCCCUACGGGGCGCAGCAGUCGCGAAACCUCCGCAAUGCGCGAAAGCGCGACGGGGCCACCCCGAGUGCCGCCCGCUGAGGGUGGCUUUUCCCCGGUGUAAGCCAGCCGGGGGAAUAAGGAGAGGGCAAGUCUGGUGUCAGCCGCCGCGGUAAUACCAGCUCUCCGAGUGGUGGGGUCAGAUUACUUGGGCCUAAAGCGUCCGUAGCCGGCCUGUGCAAGUCUCCCGUUAAAUCCAGCGAUCCAAUCGUUGGACUGCGGGGGAUACUGUCAGGCUAGGGGCGUGGAGAGGCCGGCGGUAUUCCCGGGGUAGGGGUGAAAUCCUAUAAUCCCGGGAGGACCACCAGUGGCGAAGGCUGCACGGCUGGGAACGCGCCCGACGGUGAGGGAUGAAAGCCGGGGGAGCGAACCGGAUUAGAUACCCGGGUAGUCCCGGCUGUAAACGAUGCGGGCUAGGUGU